GAGUUUGAUCUUGGCUCAGAUUGAACGCUGGCGGCGUGCUUAACACAUGCAAGUCGAGCGGCAGCGCGGGGGCAACCCUGGCGGCGAGCGGCGAACGGGUGAGUAAUGCUUCGGAAUCUUCCUAGUAGUGGGGAAUAACCUGGGGAAACUCAGGCUAAUACCGCAUACGAACUACGGUUGAAAGCAGGGGAUCGCAAGACCUUGCGCUAUUAGAUGAGCCGAAGUCGGAUUAGCUAGUUGGUGGGGUAAAGGCCUACCAAGGCGACGAUCCGUAGCUGGUCUGAGAGGACGACCAGCCACACUGGGACUGAGACACGGCCCAGACUCCUACGGGAGGCAGCAGUGGGGAAUAUUGGACAAUGGGGGCAACCCUGAUCCAGCGACGCCGCGUGUGUGAAGAAGGCCUGCGGGUUGUAAAGCACUUUUAGUGGGGAUGAAAAGCCGAAGGCUAAUACCUUUCGGUCUUGACCUAACCCAAAGAAAAGCACCGGCUAACUCUGUGCCAGCAGCCGCAGUAAU
rnacentral:rRNA from 1 species